rnacentral:rRNA from 1 species
GGUCACCGCUAUUGGAAUCCGCUUAAGCCAUGCGAGUCGAGAGGGUUCGGCCCUCGGCACACUGCUCAGUAACACGUGGACAAUCUGCCCUCGGGAGGGGGAUAACCUCGAGAAAUUGAGAAUAAUACCCCAUAGGGCCCAUAUGCUGGAACGCUUUGGGUUCGAAAGCUGCGGCGCCCGAGGAUGAGUCUGCGGCUCAUCAGGUUGUAGUGAGUGUAAGGGACUCACUAGCCGACAACGAGUACGGGCCUUGGAAGAGGUCGCCCGGAGAUGGACUCUGAGACACGAGUCCAGGCCCUACGGGGCGCAGCAGGCGCGAAAACUUCGCAAUGUGGGAAACCACGACGAGGGGAUUCCAAGUGCUCAUGGUUUCCAUGGGCUGUUUUCCUGCCUAAAGAGCAGGGAGAGUAAGGGCUGGGUAAGACGGGUGCCAGCCGCCGCGGUAAUACCCGCAGCCCGAGUGGUGAUCGCUAUUAUUGGGCCUAAAGCGUCCGUAGCCGGCUCAGUAAAUCCUUGGGUAAAUCGGGCAGCCUAACUGUCCGAACUCUGGGGAGACUGCUGAGCUUGGAACUGGGAGAGGUCGGAGGUACUCCGGGGGUAGAGGUGAAAUUCUGUAAUCCCCGGGGGACCACCAGUGGCGAAGGCGUCCGACUUGAACGGGUUCGACGGUGAGGGACGAAGCCCUGGGGCACAAACCGGAUUAGAUACCCGGGUAGUCCAGGGUGUAAACGCUGCGGGCUUGGUGUUGGGGGUCCUACGUGGGCGUCCAGUGCCGGAGAGAAGUUGUUAAGCCCGCCGCCUGGGGAGUACGGUCGCAAGACUGAAAC